GCAUAAAAUUUUAAUAAAAUGAAGUUAAAGGCGAUAAUUACAAAAAAUAUCAUUUAUACACUAACAGCAAGUAAAAAAUUGUACAAAUAAAAGGCUUAUAUCUACAUAAAAGAUGUGUAAAAUACAAAUUUAGCAAGUUAGGCAAUUAAAACAUUCAUUUAAAAAAAAACUCAUUAACAUAUAUACUGGACAAGACUACAGGGUUUGGCAUACAAAAUUCAUCUGUACAUUCUGUCAGGUAAAUCCAUAACAAUGUAUACUUUUAUUGAAAAAGGCCUAUAACAUGUAUGUAUUAUAUGUUUCCAUUACAUAAAUCUAUUCAUUAUUAUUUUUUUCAUUUUCUGAACACCACCUGAUUACAGGGACAUGGUAAGCAGAUUAAAAUUUUGUUUAUCAAUGUUUUUCAAAUCUUUUUUGCCUGUCUAUUUGUUUAACAUUAUUAUAGAUUUUAACAUUGGCAUGAAUAUUUCAUUGUUUUCUAGCAGUGUGCAGUUUACUAUUGAUAUCUGUAUACUGAAACUUUAGUAUUUCAUGUGUUUCCAUAAAAUCCUUUUUUCAAAUACUUUAAACGCAUACAUGUUAUUCAAUUACAUCGGCUAGGCUAUUAAAUGUCUUAGUAAAAAGAUUUUGAUAGAUUUACUAGAAAAUUAAAGAAUUUAAAAAUGUUUAUGGAGAGAUUCAUUAUGAUAUUAAUUAUGCUGAAAAAGUAAAGUAGCCCCUGAAAGAGAUCUGACAUACAGAAGUACAUAUUUUGAUGAAUCAGCUGAUUUGGCUCUUAUUUCAUUUGACUAGAGAAAAAUACAAAAUCAUAACAAAACAACAAUGGUCCUACUGAGCAACAUACUGAAACACUGAUCAUAUUUUAUAGUGAAAAUUCUCGAACCAUUAACAGUCUAAUAUCAACUAAUCAAAUCUACUCAAUUAGUAACAAUUUCAAUGUUACAACUACUGGAAUACAUUCAUCCCAUAAACUUGGGGUACAUGUAGAUGACAAAUAUUUAUGUUUUAAUAGGUUAAAUAAUUAGAAAGUAGGAAGUUAAAUGGAAAAUGUUGAACAUAAAUGUUGCAAUUUUAAUCAAAGAAUUGAUUUUUAUUAUGCUAUUUUUGAUACAUAUUGCAAACCAACUUAUUAUUGCAGAUGCCAAUUUCCAGUUUAGUCCUUGCUAGCGAAGUUUGAGGCGAUUUAUUUUCACCACUUUGGAUUUUCUUAAUGUAUUUAUAUAAAGCAGGAUACAAGGUUUUCAUUUUCAUGACAAUAUUUUUCUAUGCACGAAAAUUCAUUAAAUAAAUCACUCAUAAAAUAUUAGUUUAUUUUUAUUAUAUAACCGCAUUUGUUCAUAAAUGCUGAUGAAAACACAGCAUGUACAAAUACAAUAAAUACAAAAUGGCUGUAGUCAGCAGUGUUCUCCUCAAGGCAUUAAAGCAAUGUGGUACCCUGGUGCUAUAUUUUCUACCAUGGUGCAAUCAUGGGAUGAUUUUAUAAUAGAAUGUAUAAAGACCAUGGUGCUAUAUAUUUUUUGAAAAAUAGUACUAUGUAAAUUUCUAACGUGGUAUUUGAAAAUUCUGGGGAGAUAACUGGUCAGACUAUAGCCUGUACACAAUUCAACCUGCAAAGAGAGUACACAGAAAUUGGUUGUAUUCUUCUUAAAGGUAAGAUAAAAGAAAAAAGUUCCUCAGUGCAAUUAUAUUUGUUGAUGGCAGCAGUAUUUUCUCUAUAACUCUCUACAAGUGCAUUAAUAAAUAACGGUGAGAUAAAAGUAUCUAUCACAGAUAUUGGUUGGUUCUAUGGCAGGAUUCAUCCAUUCUUCAAAUAUUCUGAUUUCCAUGUCUUGGCAUUCUCAAAACCAUUCUGUCCUAAUUUGUAAUCUAAUAAGGCUUGUUCUAUUUCUUCAUCUGUAUUCAUAACAAACGGACC
rnacentral:lncRNA from 1 species